rnacentral:rRNA from 1 species
AUUGAACGCUGGCGGCAGGCCUAACACAUGCAAGUCGAGCGGAGCGGCGGACGGGUGGGUAAGGCCUAGGAAUCGGCCUGGUGGUGGGGGAUCACGUCCGGAGACGGGCCCUAAUACCGCAUACUAUCAGGUCGGCCUCGGUGGUAUUAGCUAGUGGGUGGGGUAAAGGCUUACCAAGGCGACGAUCCGUAACUGGUCUGAGAGGAUGAUCAGUCACACUGGAACUGAGACACGGUCCAGACGCCUACGGGAGGCAGCAGUGGGGAAUAUUGGACAAUGGGCGAAAGCCUGACCCAGCCAUGCCGCGUGUGUGAAGAAGGUCUUCGGAUUGUAAAGCACUUUAAGUUGGGAGGCGUUACCAACAGAAUAAGCACCGGCUAACUUCGUGCCAGCAGCCGCGGUAAUAC